rnacentral:snRNA from 1 species
CAUAUGAGUCUUUGUCUUUGUAU